ACACAAUAAACACUCCAGUAAGACUAAUAAAGUCACAUGUACAGCACACUUGAACAACUGCAUUUUGCACAUUUAGUUCCUUUUCGAACUAAAACACAUCCAAAUGUCUUAGCAAAGAUCUUGGAAAUCAAAUUAUAAAAGGUUUGUAUAGUCAGCAACUUAAGCAGUUACAGAAGCUCAAAAAAAAAAAAAUGUAUAUAUGCAAUGUAAUCAUGAGAUAUCAAACAAUUAACUAAAGCAGCAUUUUUGCAAUCAAUGAUGUAUGAGUCCAUUUUUCAGUAAACACUAAACAAUGCAAAAUAACUCCAAUGUGUAACUGGGAGGUUUUUUUUAUUUUUAUUUUUAUUUUUUUAUAAGUUAUACACAAGCCCAAAAGAACUUGCAUUUGUGACCUCAUCCUCCUGCAUCUUGCUUUUACAAGGGAGCCAACAUGUUACAUCCAAUUGAAGCAAAGUCAAUAUGGUGUCAAGCUUAUUAUAUUAUAAGUGUCUUAAGGUUAAAACAGUUUUUUCAUUUGAGUCAUUAGAAGUGUCUCAGGGUUAAAAAAGGUUUCUUAAAUUAAGUCAUUGGUUUAUAAGUUAUGGGCGUUUUAACGUGCAAGGGAAUCUAGAAUUUCAUAAAAUUCCUGAGCAUAAUUUUUCUUUCUUAUAUUUACUCUAUUGUUUUCAAAAACUUCUGGCAGUAUUAGGACUCUUAUUGGGUUUUAUCAGGAAUUUAUUUAUUAAUCAAUUCAGGAAUUUUCCUUUAGAAAAACUUUUGGCACCUUUACAACUGUUUUGCUGGGGCAAAAGCAGCUACUAAUGCGUUCAGUCAAAAACCACAAGGAUGCUUCUCUGGAAGCAACAGCUACCAUUGCUUCCCACAAGUGUUAGGUGGCACAAAAUGGAAGCUUUAGUAGGCUCCUACACCAAUUUUCACGUAGGAUUUUUAGAAAUUCAGCACUAAAUAAAAUUCUUUUUAAGGGUUCUUGAGUGAGGUUUAGAAUUUAAGGUUUUGAGAAAGGUUAGGUAAUAAAAGAUUGGAUUUUGAAUGAAUCUUGAGGGAUUUGAUGCUUGUUCAACAUCGAAACAGUGAAUUGAAGUAGAAACAAAGAAAGAUAAACUGAAGACGAUCACAACUAGAUUCUCUAAGCAAUCACACUUGGGAAGAAGAAGACAAUCACACCCUCAAAACCUGGAAUAAGAUGCUAGAAUUUUAUUAAACCUGUAUCCAUUUUAUUGACUACAUAGAAGUUUUUAUAUAUAGGCUAUUGCCAAUCCAUUCCUAGAAAGAGUAGGACUCCUGUUAACAAACAGAAGUAAUUAAUAACUUCUAAACCAAAUAGAAACACAACACAAAACAUAAAAUCGAACUUAUGGACCUCUGGUACAACCUAUUACAGCCCAUUCUAGAAAAUACCAGAUUAUCCUUACCCUAGUAAAACUUAAUUAAGAUGAACCAACGAAUUUCUAACCUAAUCAAACUUAAUAUUAAGACUCAAUAACAACUAGAGUAGACUAUGACAGGCUUCAACAAGACCCCAUAUUGAAACUAAGCCACAAUUCUCGAAUCUUUUAGUUUUUAAUCUUGCUUUCCCUCAAACUCUUUGAUGGCUACAUCAAUCUCCCAAUGGCUGGACAAAACACAACCUCAAGUUUUGAAAUGUUGACGUAGUGAAGUCCUCAAUUUAUUAAGCAGGAUACUUAGAACAACAUUGCAAGACAUUUUCUCAAUCUAAAUAGAGCAGGUUUUACAUGAAGAAGAUUUGGCUCAGCAGGCUCAACUCGAUAUGGGUAGGAGAAGAACUCAACUUGGUAUUCAUAAAAAAAUAAAAAUAAAAAAUAAAAAAUAGAGAAAUUAUAACCAAGUCAAGAGAUACAGAUCAAGGAUCUUACCAUUUUCGAAGGAACUGUACUUACAUCCCUUUUUUAAUUUCCAUUCAAGAGUUCUUAUGUGUUUCCACACCCCUUAGAGAACCCAAAAAAUGGACAAUUUCAUUUUCUGAACUCUUUUGUCAGAGAUAGCAUUGAUGAUAUUGGAAGGUCUUCUAAACCAUGUUAUUGAAGUCAUCAGAAAUGACAAAUCAAAUCUGUUAUUUUUCCAUGCGUAAUCAAAAUUAUUUAAAACUUGAAUUGUGAUUCCCAUACGCACCGAUCUCAUCUUUCACAUUCCAAUUUCCAAGUUCCAAUGAUGCCACCCUCCAACUCUUUAAUCUCUUUUUUUCAUACAAUCUUCUUUUGUUUCAACUAAGGCAUGUUGUGGAAUAAUGUGUAGCUGGCUGAGAUGUACUUAGCAUAAUAGUAGGCUAAACAAUUGCUAAUUUGUCAAUUUCUUUUCCCUGACAAUAGCAGAUUCAACCCCUUUUUAUUGGCUGUCAUGUUAUUACUCAAUUCACCUCCUCAUGAGAUUCAAGAGUUUCUUUUUUGCAGGUUUUGACUCAUCUUCAGGUGCUGAUUAGGCUCUUUUGCUUUAGUUAUUUAUUUUAAUUUUCUGGGUGUUUGGACUUUGUUGCAUGCUGCACUGACUCUUAAGCUUGUUGUUUAGGGUCUACCACCCGCUCUUCUAGUUGUUCUAGCUUCUUCUUUUUUUCUUUUUCUUUUUUGAUGACAUGGAACCUCACCAAAGCAAGGUCCUUUGGACCCACCCUAAGGGAGUAACCAUGGAUACAUGAUGCCAUUCUAGCUUUCCAGCAAGCUGUUCAGAUUGUCGGCAUCCUAUUCUAGCUUUCCAGCUUCCGUUUAUGGAACUUUAGCUCUUUGUUUUGAAGUUUCUGCUGGCUGCUUCUACUCUGUAGUCCUCCUUGCAUGCAGUCUUGGAUAUUAAGCAUUAUGUUUAUGCUUGAAAAUUGUAGAUUUCUCCUUAAAAUUCUACAAACUCAAACCAAAUUGUUGUUUCUAUAGCAUCUUCAACAUCUUUCAAAUUUAAAUGAGGCAUUUCCUUCUUAAUUUCAUAUCUCAGCCUACUUUUGAUUGAACAAUAGUCAUACAUGCACUUUCUACUACCAAACUUAAUAAAUAAUUCCUUAUAUUUUCUUGCAUUAUCAAUUACAUGCAAAUCACCUUACUCAAGAGUAUAGUGUACAGAGCUGAUCAAGAAAAUCAUCUGUAAGAUUUCUUACAAGAAUUUCUUCUUUAAAAAUCACCUUACCCUCUUAUCCUCUUAGAAGAAAUGCUCAUAAAUAUCAUCUUUAAGAUUCCUUGUUUAUUGAAAAGUCAAAAUUAUCCUAGCAAUUUUCCAAAAUUCCCAAGAUCAAUUUCCAAGAUCACACUUCAUAUUAUUCUCCAAUCAUCCUUGUUCAGGUCAAAUUUCUCAUCUCUACUCUAUUUUCAAACCCAAAGCAUACUUUUUCCCUUGUACAUUUGAACCCCUAAAACCCCGAGUUUUCCAUAAUUUUUUAGUCAAAUAGCCUAUCAAAUUAGGCCUAAAGUCCCAAUCACAGCCACUAAUCAGAAUUCUCCUCCAACCUAUUUUUUCAAGAAGCAGCCACUCUUACCUUUUAUUCCCUCACUUUUCAAAACCCUUCUUUGUUCUACAACCUGAAAGCCUUCAUUUUUUUUUUAUUGGUAAUUAUAUAUGCACCUGGUGGCUAUUGAACCACAACCUCAUUGGUAAUUACCUUGCUCUAGCAAAGGAAGGAGAUGCCAUUUGAGCUAAAGCUCAUUGGCCUUUUUGAAGCCAAAACAAACCCUAAAAGCAUAACUUCUUCUUCUUCU